rnacentral:rRNA from 1 species
GAUGAACGCUGGCGGCGUGCCUAAUACAUGCAAGUCGAGCGAACAGACGAGGAGCUUGCUCCUCUGACGUUAGUGGCGGACGGGUGAGUAACACGUGGAUAACCUACCUAUAAGACUGGGAUAACUUCGGGAAACCGGAGCUAAUACCGGAUAAUAUAUUGAACCGCAUGGUUCAAUAGUGAAAGACGGUUUUGCUGUCACUUAUAGAUGGAUCCGCGCCGCAUUAGCUAGUUGGUAAGGUAACGGCUUACCAAGGCAACGAUGCGUAGCCGACCUGAGAGGGGGAUCGGCCCCACGGGAACUAAGAACCGGCCCACGCCCCCAGGGGGGGCAGCAGUGGGGAAUCUUCCGGAAUGGGGGAAAGCUGGACGGGGCAACGCCGCGGGAGGGAUGAAGUUUUUCGGAUCGUAAAACUCUUUUUUGAGGGAAGAAAAAAUGUUUAAGUAACUAUGCCCGUCUGGACGGUACCUAAUCAAAAAGCCACGGCUAACUACGU